rnacentral:rRNA from 1 species
GACGAACGCUGGCGGCGUGCUUAACACAUGCAAGUCGAACGGAAAGGCCUCUUUCGGGGGGUACUCGAGUGGCGAACGGGUGAGUAACACGUGAGUAACCUGCCCUUGACUUUGGGAUAACUUCAGGAAACUGGGGCUAAUACCGGAUAGGAGCUCCUGCUGCAUGGUGGGGGUUGGAAAGUUUCGGCGGUUGGGGAUGGACUCGCGGCUUAUCAGCUUGUUGGUGGGGUAGUGGCUUACCAGGCUUUGACGGGUAGCCGGCCUGAGAGGGUGACCGGCCACAUUGGGACUGAGAUACGGCCCAGACUCCUACGGGAGGCAGCAGUGGGGAAUAUUGCACAAUGGGUGGAAGCCUGAUGCAGCAACGCCGUGUGCGGGAUGACGGCCUUCGGGUUGUAAACCGCUUUCGCUCAUGACGAAGCUUUGUGUGACGGUAGUGGGUAAAGAAGCACCGGCUAACUACGUG